UACGGAGGGAGCUAGCGUUGUUCGGAAUUACUGGGCAUAAAGCGCACGUAGGCGGCUACUCAAGUCAGAGGUGAAAGCCCCGGGCUCAACCUUGGAACUGCCUUUGAAACUAGGUAGCUAGAAUUCUGGAGAGGUCAGUGGAAUUCCGAGUGUAGAGGUGAAAUUCGUAGAUAUUCGGAAGAACACCAGUGGCGAAGGCGACUGACUGGACAGAUAUUGACGCUGAGGUGCGAAAGCGUGGGGAGCAAACAGG
rnacentral:rRNA from 1 species